GUGUGUCCGGGGUGUUUCACCGCUGCGCUUUUGGAAGCAAAGCCACUGCUCUAAAACAAGCGAGAACACGCGUGCGACAGGGCGACAGCGCAAGGGGCCUGCGCGGGAACAAGUGUCACCAGCGAGGGGCCCAGGCUGAGCCCAUCCCGAAGAAACCGGAGAGUAGAUCUAGAAUCUUAAAAUGCCCUGUAGUUCAGUUCUGGGGAUUUAACCCAGAGCCUUCACAAAGAACUGCAUUUUCAGUGGGUGCCCGCGCACCCGCAUGCUAACACGCACACACAAGCGCAUCUUUUAAACAUAAUUGAGAUAAGGUCUCGCUAAAUCUCUAAUUUGCCCAAACUGGGCUCAAAAUGAUAAUCCUGCCUCUACCACUCAGUCCUGGGAUUACAGGCGUAUGCUACCAUAUUUGGCUUAAAAACUUCGCUUCUUUUGACCAAAUCAAAUUCUGGGAAUACAUCUUUCAAAGGAUUAGAGGAAAAGAGGAGACGUGAAUAGCAGCAGAAGAGGAGAGGAAAAGAGAAGAGAAGAGAAGAGAAAUAGUUACCAGUACCUACCCCUGGCAUCUGCACUCGCGAUUCCCACCGGCCAUACCUGCCCUGAGGACCUCCAAAGCCCUGCCUGGAUGGACCCUUCCUGCUGGGGUACCCUCCUCUCACCUCUUCAGACACAUUCUUCUCCUUGCCCCUUCAGCCUCUGGUCUUUAAAGACUGUAACAUGCGUUCUUUUAAAUUUAGAAAUCCCACUUUAAAUAUCCUCAAGUGGGUUUUGUCAUUGAAAUCUAAAUUCCUUAUCGUGCUAUGGAGGUCAUGUGUGUGCUUCUAUCUGCAGAGCCAUCAUCAGCCUCCCCACAUUCUGAGGCUUUGGGCCUUACUGUGUGCCUUCCCAAUUGUCUGCCAAGCUCUCAACCCCGAAAGGGGCUAUUCACAGCUGCAGCCUUGUGGUGGUUGUAUCUAGAUAUCCACCUAAUGUCUCAUGUGCCCAUAGGUGGGGCUUUUGCUAGGUAACUGGAUCGUGGCUAUGUGACACUGGAUUAUUCCACUUAUGGGUGUGAUGCUGGGAGAGAAAGCCUGGGGAGAAGAGGUAGGUGGGUCCUUGUGGGUGUGACUGGGAGAUAGAUAGAUGGAUAGGUAGACAGAUUUGUAUAUGCUUGUGCAUAGAGAUAUAGAUGCAUAUGUAAUGCACAAUCAUUAUAACAUAAAUUAAAAUUUUGAAGUGGAGAGAA